GUCAGUUUGGCCGAGUGGUCUAAGGCGCUUGACUUGAACUUUACUGGGGGUAACCCUGCCAUGUUUGGGCAUCAAGUAUCUUCGGAUGCACAGGUUCGAACCCUGUAGCUGACG
rnacentral:tRNA from 1 species